rnacentral:rRNA from 1 species
GACGUAGGGUGCGAGCGUGUCCGGAUUUAUUGGGCGUAAAGCGCGUGUAGGCGGCUUUGCAAGUCGGGUGUGAAAGCCCUCAGCUCAACUGAGGAAGUGCGCCCGAAACUGCAGAGCUUGAGUGCCGGAGAGGGUGGCGGAAUUCCCCAAGUAGAGGUGAAAUUCGUAGAUAUGGGGAGGAACACCGGUGGCGAAGGCGGCCACCUGGACGGUAACUGACGCUGAGACGCGAAAGCGUGGGGAGCAAACAGG